UCAGAUUUAAAAAUUGCAAAUGGGUUCUCAAGCCACAGCAGUUUGCUGUUUAGUAAACAGAACCCCCCUCAGUUAUUACCAGAUUAUUUUUGGAAUUAAAAAUAAACACGUUAAACUCCCGGCAUGCAAUAUGUAAACUAUGUGGCAACGGCGGCUUAUUUGGCCACUGCAGAGUUUUUGGACAUUUCCCACAAUAUUUAUAUUUGAUUAUAAAAAUAAAAAAAUAAAAAAUAAAAUUGAAAAUCAUGAUGCUAACAUAUGCGAUAUUUCACACAAAGCUUUCGAUAGUUCUUCAUAUCACAAUUUUCCAUUUUCUGUUUAACCAGCUCAUAUCUGAAAUAUCUUUAAUAACAUAUUGUAUGUCCUUCAAUUUUCUGUCUAUUAAUGCGAGUCUUUCAUAACUUGGUAUUAACGUCUAACAAGGUUAAACUUCAAAGAAACGUGUUUUAUUCUUCUUUCACAGGACGGAAAUAUUUUGCAAUGUUUUGUGUAUUAUUAUUAUUUUUAUUAUUUUAUUAUUUAUAUAGCGCCAACAAAUUCCAUAGCGCUGUACAAUGGGGUACAUAACAGAUUCAAAUAAAGUUUGUUUUUGGAGGGAUCUGCUAUAGUUAAAAUGUUCUAUUCUAAUCAUAUUGCCGUUUUAAAAGAAGAUGUAUUGAAAAUCGCAAAGGCACUUUAAUCAUGUUGAGAUACUGUGUGCUAUUAGUAUUAAAAUUAUUUACCAAUUACAAUUCACUUUAAAUACCUAAAUAGUCUUAGUUAACCAAUAGUGUGCCAGUGGCUGUGCAAAUUAUUAAAUGAAAUGGACUGGGAGUAUUAACAUGAGUUAAACGUGUGCCAUGCAAUUCUGCCAUUAUUUUGGACUGAAUUAUGAUGAGAAAGUCCUUAUUUGCUGCUAUACAAAGUAUCCAGAGAAAAAUUACAAAUCUUCGAUUAUUUACAGUAUUGUUUCUCAGAAUAGUUCUCUGAUAAAACUGGAACUAUUCUGAAAUGAUUAGAGAACUGCAAAUCGUGUUCCAAAAUAGCCGAGACAAAAAACACUGAACCAAAUUGAGAAUAUAACUGAGAUUCUAAUUUGGUCAUUCAGUAUAUAUAACAAUGUACCAAAGGUUUCUGUUUACUUGAAUUUGUUAUAAAACUUUCAUAAAUAAAAUUAUAUAUAAAAAAAAUGAAUUGCUGACGACACUUUGCAAAACCCUACGAGGCAAUCAUAACACAUACGAGGUAUUAUUAAAUACACAAUAUCACAAUCACAUACACACAUCUUAACACACAGGGUAAAGCAGGAAUUAAAGCUGAAGGCCACGUUAAUAGGACUUUGUUUGAAUGUAGCAAUGCAAUAGUUGCAGAUAGGAGCAUGUCAAUAUUCACAGAAUGCCUGCUUUAAUAUACCUCCAAACUGUCCCGAAUUAAGGGCCCCUCUACUAUAGUUCAGAGUUUAUUAACAAACUCAAAAGUAAGUGCUGUGUGAAAAUGUUAUUAGAUGUGUUUAUGGUGCACAAAACAAACUCAGGUCUUUACUGUCUGCACCUCAUUCUGCUUAAAAGGGGCUCUGUGCAUUGGUCACACUGAGAAGGGCUGGUCAGCCAGGCUCACGUGCCCUUUUUGGAAGUGCCAUGACCCGCCCCAUGUAUGUCACCCCUAUUGUCCCACACACCACCUGUCCAGCAGGCUUACCUCUCAAUAUUGGUGCAGAAAUAUUUAAUGAGCAAUAUUGGCUACAAUUUAAAAUGGCAUACUGUGUGUGGUCAUUUGCAUAAUGCUGUGUGGAAUUCUGGGAGUAUUGCAAGACUAUCAUGUUCUCCUAACUGCAGCGUGUAACGUAUAUUAUAGGCAACUAGACCACUCCACCUCAUUGAAGUGGUCUGGAUGCAGUGUCCCUGUCCCGUUAACCCUGCAACAGGAAACAUUACAGCCCCAGAGAAACGGCAAUGUUUACAUUGCAGGAUUAAGACUGCCUCUAGUGGCUUCCUGCUGUUUCACAGAGUCUGACUCACGCUUUGCAUGAUAACAUCCAGUGUCUUUAAAAACCCCAUAGGAAGCAUUAAGUCAAUGCUUUCCUAUGGGGAGGGCCUAAUGCACCGCGCAUGCUUAAUAGGUUCCAGAAUCGCCAGGAAGGAGCCUGAUUCAGCACUGAAGGAGGGAAGGAGGUGGCAGAAGGCACUAUAGGAAUACAAUGUUAUAUUUCUAACACUGUAGCAUUUCUUUAUCAACGAGAAGAUGAUACAUAGCUUUACAUUUGAGCAUAUAUAUCAUACAAUAGCAAUCUUGUUUUUUUUAUUCAAACAUUUUAUUGUUUUAAAUAAAACAGAAGAAUCUGGAUGGGUGUCGGGGGUUAUAUCACUAAACACCGUAACAAAGUCUUAUUCAGAAAAGAAGAAUAAAAUACACAGAAAAGGGAAAUUUAAAUAAUUUAAAGAUUAAAGUUGAAGUCUUUACAAUGUAUUUUUAAAGAGUACUGUUUUGUAAAAUACAUUUACUGUGCCACCAUAACAUACUGUGAAUAUUGUUUUAUUAGGUAUUUUAGAGUGUAAGCUUCUUUGGCAAUAGCUUUUAUCACUGCAUGUUCCUGCACAACAAACAUAUUAAGUCUCUGUAGUCUGAUUUUGUUUGACCUGUUAUACAGCACUGUAGAAUGUGUUGGUUGCUUGAAUAUUAAUUAUAAAAACGUAUUAUAAUAUUUAUUUAUUAAUUAAUCUCCCACAAUUCUAUACAUCUAUAUUAUUUUUAGAAUGUAUCACCAACAUAGUCUGCGGCGAUGUACCAUCGGACAUGUUUAGGAAGGGCGAUGCUUUGUACGCUGGUGCCAUGUUCACCAUAUAUGAUCUUGUUUUCCUGCAGUCCUGGGUUUUUGCCAUUUGCUGUAGUGCAUGUUUUGUAUAAAGUUAGGAGAUGUGGGAGGUGAGGCCUGCACAGAGCUCUCUCUUGUAUCUGACAUGAUACACUGUGACUACUCUCUCCCUGCGUUCACAUGUAAUCAGACUGACCAGUUCCAAACCCACCUGUGUCCGAUGCCUCACUAAUAACCGAUUUUUAGUUUAAUUAAAUACAUUGAUUAUUAUUGAAGUGGAUAUUUUAAUAGAUGUGAUUUUGCUGUAGCCAACAGAAAGCAUUUUCCUGAUGUGUUCUAAGACUUUGCGCACAGUGUAACGUAGCGGGUCUAUUAACUAAACAGUGACUUGGUCUGUAGUGGUUAUGAAGCUCGGAGUAACCCUUUACCUGCUGGCAUGAUAUAUUCUUCCAAGAUGGUAAUAAUCUCCAGCUCAGAUAAAUACCAAAUCUGAUCAACUACCUUUUGUAGCCUAAUUUGCCAAGUCAGCAAUCCAUUUACCACUACACACUGGGGAUAAACCCCAAAUAUACCAAAUAUUUGUCUUUCAAUAUAUACAUGUUUGUUCAGCCAUCACCUUGCGAUAAGAUCUCUUUUAGGAACAUAGUUUGGUACAAGUGAUGAUGAAGAUAUUGAUCUCUAAUUAUUAUUAUUAUUAUUAUUAUUAUAGCGCUUCCUUAUUCUGCAGUUCCACACCUUUAUACAAAGGUGAUAUAACAGCAAGUAAGAGAGAAAAUACUACACAUGUUAACAGGGCCAAUAGGUUAACCAGGACCCUGCUCAAAUCUUUUUACAAUCUAUCAAUACUAUUGAUUUAUUGCCUGAUCUUUUUUACCAUUCAGUCAUUAUAUCUGACCAAUAAUUUAACACUAAUUAGAUUGUCGGAUAUCAGCAGCAGAACACACAUUACAUUUUAUUUAAUGUGCUCUAUUUACUAAACAGUGACUUUUCAUCCAAUUUACCAACUUGCCAUUUAGGUCCAUCUGCAAUGGAAGAGAGAUUGCCGGGUGUAUGUCAUCAGUUAUAUGCCAAAAACAUAAAGUCACUGAUCAAGCAAAUAGGCUUAGAGCAAAGGGACACAUUAAGCACCAAAACUCUUGCACAGGCAGCAGUUUUUUGCAGUGAUUUCUUUUUAAGUAAUGUCACAAAAAGCUGGGGGUUGCAGGCAUCCAAAUCCAGAAAGUUUCAAGAAAAUCUGUCCAAGUUUAAAUAGCGAUGAUAGGUAGCGAAGCUGGGCUAGGCCCACCCCUAACAUUUGUGGUGUAUUAUUGGCCUCUCCUACUGCGCCAGCACCUGAUUUGCUAGGUGAAAGUCCUACAAGUUACUAUUCAAUAAAACCAUUACCUUCGAGAUGUUCCAUACGCACUAGGCUUCAGGCAUUCUCUUACUGCAACCUAUUUAUGGGUUUUAUUAUUAUAUUUUACAAAGUUACAAUGUUUUAGCUUGCUAUUAAUGCUAUAAGGUUUAUUUACUAAACAGUCCUAUCAUCACAGCUAACGUCUUAGUGAUUACACCCCUCCGAAAAAAAAAUCCAGUAAAACCCUUAUUUAUUUACCACUUGUGUGCAAAUUACUGUUAGUGGAAUUACUUUUUGUAUAUGGGAAUGGGAGGAGGGAUUGCAGAGCCAACCUAUCAGCACUGUAACGGUUAAAUAGAAAUUUAAGACUUUAUUCUCCACUGUACAAUUUGUUGGCGCUAUAUAAAUCAUAAUAAUAAACAGUUAAUUAUAACAAUCUGAGAACUCAAUAUGUGAGAUGACAUAAGUCGGUUUGGAGACAUUUUCUAUCUUGGCGAUUUCAUUCCAAAAAGAUGGACUUGACAACAAUCCUCCACAAACAUUCUCAACAAAAUCUUUUCCCAAUAAUUUUACAUUGUUACUAUUUAGGAAAAAAGAAAUGUAUAAAAAAAUGAGAAUUUGUAAGUAUUCUUUUUAGUUCCAAUUUUAUAAUGAUUCGCAUUGUAUUGGAGCAAGUACUUGGUGUGCGAAUUAAAUUAUAAAAUAUUUUGGACAAUAAACAAACAACUUAAAGAAUGUGGGGCAGAACGUAGAUUUUGGGGGGCGGGGGGAAUCCUUAACCCAGCUUAAAUACUAGUUUUUCCAACUGUUUAGUUUACAAUUUGCAAGUCGGUUCUCAGGCCUCCAGAAGUGAAUAACCCCCCACCCCAAAUAAAUAAGGGAGUUUCGCAAUUUGCAGAUAAUUAGAUGUGAAAGAUCUCAUAAUUCGGUAUAUAGAUUCUGUGGUGUCAUUUUCUCAGGGCGAUUUUUCACACCACAUACAAGAGGGAAGGAGAGAUUUAUGAGGCAUGUGCAGAUGGGUGCAAAAUGCCACAUUUUUAUUGGGGUAUCGGCUGGACUUUAUGGGGUCCCUCCUUUGUUGUGUUUGUCUGUUUGCCCUGAGGCUGCUGGUUUAUCAGCUGUCUAAGUGAAGGGAAAGCAGUUUCAAACCAGCACUGAGUCUGCCAAUUUUAAAAUGUCAUGGUUGGGUUUCAAAAGAAAUUCUUUCUGACCUACUUCUGCCGAGCUUCUCAGCCGUAUGAGACGAGUAAAGGUUCUUUUUUUACACUGAUUCAUCUGCUUGAACAACAAACAGAGGUUUUUUUUUUUCCUGCACACAGAAAUCGCCACAAUAAUAAGUUUUUCGUUACGAGUUCCCUAUUCGGUGCCCUGAUAAAUCCGUCCCCACAUUACGUUAUUUAUAAUUAUUUUAGUGCUAAAAAAAAUUCUAAUAAUUUAUAUAUAUAUAUAUAUAUUUUUUUUUUUUUUUUUUUUUUUGGAUAACGCUGAAAAAUUCCUUCCCAACAUGACCCUGGGAAAUUUUAAAAUAACUGACAUUAGAUACAAUUAUUUCAAGUUGCAAAUAUGUGAGGAAAAUGUUAAAUAUUUGACAAUUGAAACAUUUAUAGCAAGCUGCACAUACCAGAAAUCAGAAUGAUGGAAUCAAGGUUGGCUGUGACCCACAGGCAUCCUUGUAUAGAUUGUGGUGUGCUUGGCAACUCAAUAAUUUAUAUCCUAUUACAUAAUUUUUUCAUACGAUCCAGGCCAUCUGUUUAUAAGUCUACAAGAUAGAUAGCCGAUCGCAUGAUUGAACUACAAAACAUUGCAGAAGAAUAGACAUUAUGCCAUUGAAAUGCUUUGGACAUUUAUAGGCCGAUAUAUAUGAUUUUAAAUUAGAUUAUAAUCCAAAUCGGACACAUCCCAUCACGUCGAACAAUAGAGGGUAAUAAAAGUGGCAUGCACUCACUGAUCGCCUGCAUUACCUGACAUUUUAUCUCUACGGUGCUGUAGCAUUUAAUGAUAAGCAGAGAUAUUUGGGGGGGACAGAAAUGAAAGAAUUAUAAAGAGUAGCGGCAUUCUAUAAAGUAUUAUUGAACAGAAACUGUUACUUACCAGGAUUUUAAAUAUUAUGUUUACUUAUCCACCUAUGUUUAACAAAUAAGUAUUUGUGAGCUGUAAAAACUAAAAUUAAAUAUAGCAAUCCACACCUCCUUAUCCUGCGCCUGGGUACCUCAUCUUAGCUCCCUGUCAACAAUUAUUCUUCGCACCUGGCAGUCAGCAUAGAGAGAGCAGACAGAGAAGAAGAGAAAUGCAACGCUUGCCCUGGCUUUGUCUAGGCUGAACUGGACUAUGAUGUAAUUUGAUAAAUCUUUAAUAUGCAAAGACGAAAAUAAUGUAAAAAAUAAAUAAAUCCCCAAGCGCAGUAAAACUAACACUAACUGAGACUCUUAAUAAAAAAAUUCAGAACUGUGGAGAAGUAACAUAAGAAUAGCAAAUUUUAGGCCGAAAUAUUGGAGCUGAAAAUAUGAGCUAAUUUUCCCUCAACGCAAUCAACAUAUCCUUAUAGUUCGCCAACACCCUGAAAAAUCUACCUCCUCUCCAAUGGUAUAAUACGGUAUGUGAUGGGCAUAUUAUGGAUACAUUGCUGUCUCAUUGCCAACUGAUUAUUGGUGAUCAUUACAUUAAAUGUGCGAUCAUGACAUCACCUGGACUUGAUGGAAUUCUAUUUUUCUCAUUUUCUAUCUUUAAUGUGGAAAAAUCCCAAGUAAGAAAGUGAAGGUGUCUUUUAGACUUGGACUUUGAUUUUGGACCAAACUGCAAUUUGUCUGAACUUGGGACGAUUACUGUUCGUAAAAAUUCCAGAAUUCAGAGCAAAUAUAUACCCAAAUUAGAGACUAAUAAAAACCCUCAAUGCCGAUCAUGUUCAGAGGGACCUAUAUUCUGAAUUGUGCCCAUUUUAUAAAAGAGAUAAUUAAUAGGGAAAAAUAUUACUGAUGGCUAUGGGGACUGUGAGCAAGAAAGGAAAAAACAGGAAUGUCAUAUACAUUUAAUAAAUAUAAAAUAUGUAAAUAUAUAAAAAUAUAGAUUUUAUUUUUUUACUACCUCUGCUAUUUUUCCUUUUAUUGGCUACUUUUUCUCACUUAAUCUGUGAAACAAACUGGGAGGAACAUGCUCCUAUUAAUGUACUGCAAUAUAUAUUUCAAAUAUGAAUGUAUAUAUUUUGUAGCACACAACUUGGCCCAUUGCUGUGCCUCUUUGGUUUGUUCUUCUGAUUCGGUUUCUGAACCGAAGCCGAACCGACAUCCAACUGAAAAAAUACGUUACAGAGCUGAAAUUUCUUGCCUUGUUUUGGAAAACAGAAAUGAAACAGGCCAGGUGUUCAAAACCGUUCAACUAUGCAAAUAAAAGGAUGGGAGAAUUCCUGGUGUAUCUCUUUUUAACAGAACAGACAUAACAGACAUAAAAUGAUCACAAAUUUAGAUGACGGAAAAUAAGACAUAAGAAUGCUCCAUGCUUUGCAGUCUAGAGGAAGCAGGGUAUAAUUGCAAUGAAAGUAAAAUUAAAGGGCAAUGCAUUGAGAAAGGAGGAUGGAUUUAUAGGUGUACAGUCUGUAUUUAUAAACAGGCUAUUUUUUUUUUUAAAAUCAUACAGAGUAGUUAGCAGAGGCACGCAGAAAAAGAGUAUGAAUUAAAGGAACACAAAAGUGUUAAGAAUGAAACCUGCAUUCCUAGAGCUUUAAUUUCCCUGUGUAAAGAGCACCCCCCAUGUGUGCCCUAAAAAUUAUUUUUAAAAAGCUUUUACUUUUCUCUUUCCAGCUGCUGAGCGCUCGGCCUCCUGUGACAGCAUUGAGGAGGCAUUGCUUCCUCUGCAAUGGUCCAAUCUAAUCCAAUGCUUCUCAUGGGGGAUGAUAUACUUUCUUAUAGGGGCUUCCCCAUCAAGUGACCAAGGUUUACUCAGCCAGUGCAGCAGAAGAGCCUCUAGUGGCCCUCUGUAACAGUGUCUGAGGGCAGAAACCAGGCUACCCAGCCUGCGCUCUGACGUUAUCAUAGACCGCCAUACCGUAUGGCUCCAGGAGCCCACAGGACCACCAGGGAAUGUGCCCUUCCUGCCUAGGAGGUAAACCCCCACAUUGUCACCUCCUUAGUCACUCAACUCCAACCUUGUCACACUCACCACCCCUCAUCCCGUCACACUCACUCCCCCACACUAUAACUCUCACCACCCAGCCCUAGCACACUCACACCUAGCCUUUAUACACUCACCACCUGUUAUCCUGUCACAAUCACUCCCCCUCACCACCCAACCCUCUCACACUCACCCCUAUCCUUUAUACGCUCACCACCCCUCAUCUUGUCACAAUCACUCCCCCUCAUCAUCACACUUACCACCCAGCCCUUUCAUACUCACCCCUAGCCUUUAUACACUCAACACCCCUCACCCUAUCACAAUCACUCCCCCUUAUUAUCAAACUCACCACCCAGCCCUAGCACACUCACUGCCAACCUUGUUACACUCACCAACCCCACAUCCUGUCACAAUCACUCACUAUGACACUUAGCACCCAAAACUAUCACACUCAACCCCAACUUUGUCACACUCACCACCACUCUCACCCACUCACCCUGCCACACUCAUCCCUUUAUCCUGUCAAACUCACCCCCUCUCACCCUGCCACAUUCACCCCCUCCUCCUGUCAAACUCACCACCUCACCCUAUUGCACUCACCCCCUCAUCCUGUCAACCCCAGAUGGCUUGGGUGCAUUAUAACUUGUCGUGUCAGUGCAACAAUUUAUAGUGUUACAAUACUUCACUAUAAUUUGCAUUUAUAGCUUUGUCUCGGAUAAGCUGAAACCCCAUUUCUUUUGUACACAUUACAUACAGCCAGCACACACACACACACUACAUACAGCUAGCACACAUACACAUUACAUACAGCUUGAACUUUUUAGCUUAUUCUGUGGUAACGUUUUCUUAAAGAUAGGUGUCAGAUGUUUAAACAGGGGCUGUGAGGGGCGUAAUUUAAGUGCUUACCAUAGGCGUUGUCUUCAGUAGAUACACCUCUAUUGAGAUGAAGUAACUUUGGUGACUUCUGUGGUCCUUCAGUGAUAAGGGACAUGAUGAAUGGUGUUAGGAGUGGUAUCUACUAACUGAUAUGCUCUGUUCCAGAAAUUAGUUUAUAUGGACAUUUUAGAAGACGUCAUUGAGGCGCCGUCAAUUCAUCGUCACUGCUCCAGCCCAGUCCUCCACAUAGGGGACCAUCGGGACCUGAUGCGAUUAUGUGGCAAAUGCAUUCAAUGUUUUUCUUUGAGCGGCAAUGUCACAUGACCGAGUUUUACUUGGUAGUGGAAGCAUUUCUAGUGGCUGUCAGUAUGACACAUUUAACUCUUCAAGGUAGACACUGACAUUUCAGAAAAUCAGCAAAGCUUUACCUUGAAGGGUUAAAACUACAGAAUCACAGCACCCAGACCAAGUCACUGAGAUAAACAUCCUUUAAGUGAUGUGGGUGUUAGGAGAGGAAUCAACCAGUUGAUAUGAGUUUAUAUGGAUAUUUUAGAAGACUAGACACUGGAAACAUCUGAAGGGAUGAGACAGGACAUUCCACAUGAACAGGACAGCCCAAGAGAAAAACUAAGGACAGGUGAAGGUUGUUGUCGGUUUUCUAGUUAAAGGACAAGAUUUUAAAUUCCAUUCCAAAAAUAUACAGUUGACAAUAUAGGGACAGACAAAUGGGAAAGGUGUGACAGGAGUGAUAUUUUAGGGGUAAAAUGCCAGCACAAGGGUGGCUGAUGAAGUAUGGGGUGCAGUGACUGAAGACCAGUGCAUGAACCAAUGCUUUGAUUGCAUAAUGUUUUAGAAAGGGGUAAAUGAGGGCUAUAGUUUUAAGAUGACAGUUGCAGUAUUUGAUUACUGGAUGGGAGAAGUGAUCUAAAGGGAGAUGGACAAGAAAUGGUUUGAAGAAGUAAAAAGAAGAAGCUCUGUUUUAGAGAUAUUGAGUUUAAAGAAGGCAGACAUCCAGGUAAAGAGUGCGGGGACAGUUAGUGAUACGAUCGAUGAGAGAAGGGAAUAGAUCUAAAGAAGAGAGGUGCAUCUUGUCGGUGCCAUAAAGACUGCACUGAAAUCCAAAGCUAGUUAUUAUGUUACCCGGUAAAGUAGUAUAGUGAAAGAGCACUGAGAGAGAAGAUCCAUGAAAGAGCAAUCAAGAUGGACAAAUUUAUGGAGGUCUGAAGAAUGCCAACAGUGUCAAAAGUAGCAGAAAGGUCCAGAACAAUUAAUCACUAGUAAUGACCUCUAAAUGUUGCAAUCUUCAGGUCAUUUUGAGUGGUAAGAGUGGAAACCAGACUGAAGUACUGAGCUUUUCAAAAAACUCAAGAGGCAAAAAGGCAUUGAGACUCCGGAGGUGGGUCUGGAGGUUUUUUUUUAGGAUGGAAUUGAUAAUUGAUUGAAUUAGGUUACAACACACAAUAUAAAUACAUAUGGCCGAGUUAAAUAUGGAACAAGAACAGAUCAAAGAAACUGAGCAAAAUCUGCAUUGGUUAAACGAGGAGGCAUGUGGAUAUGGUGUAAGAUAAAGCUCUUCUUCAUUAAAGGGUUACCCCACUGAUUUGAAGUGGUCAUGGCGUCAGAAGUUUGUAUGCGCACUGUUUCGGUAUGGCAGCAUCACAACGGCGUCAUUAGUCAUGGGCCGGCUAAUGUUAAUUCUGUGCGUAUUUGGAAUCUGAUACAAGCACAUACAGCACAGAGUUGAAAGGGGGAUAAAGAGAGUGAGGAGACGUAUAAUUAUUUCAAUUAAUUGAAAUUAAUAUGUUCCAGACUUGUCAGCUGUGAGUUUAGUGGAAAGUUAAGACGUGAUGGGGCAGAGACUGAUGAAAUAUGGACGUGUAACGUGGAUUUGUGUUGUGAAAACCAUAAAGAGUAACAGUGUUAUUACGAAAGUGAGAAUUGUUGUGGAAUUCCAAAAACAUUUUAAAUAUUUACAUUUCACGCCAAAAUAGUAAAAAAAAUUGAACCAUAGCUGACUGGGAGAAUUUGUCAAGUUCAGCUACUUUGACCUUAAAUUUGAAAUUCACAGUGAAUUAUUUUGGAAUUCCUGACCAUUUUUAGUUUAGGAAAUAACCCUGAACGUGCUGGUUUUUUCUACUUUCUCCAUGGUAGCCAAGAUGCAGGUGUCAUAUAGGAAGGAUGCUAGUUUAGACUCAGAGAAAGGAGAUGUGAAGAGAUGUUAAUGAGUGGUCGUUGGGAAUUAAAACAGAUUGAGUUAUUGAAGUUUUCAGCAAAAACUUUAAUCUUUUCACAGUGUCUGUGUGUGUGUGGGCAAGGGGGGGCCUCUUCUGCAAUAUCCUAACUAUAUGGAGCGUAUUGUGAUGUGAAUAGUUUAUACCUGACAACAGAUGUCUGCAGAUCCCACUUACCAGAACAGCAUAACACGUUGUAUAAAAUUACUUUUUUUUGAUAUUCACUUUUCAUAGGGUUCUCAAAAAAAGUAGGUUACAGCAAAAUGUAGAUAUUUGAUACACUAGUUCAGUAAACAUCCAGGUGGAUUUUAAUUCAGCGAGUCUUCAAAAUAAUAAAAAAAUAAAUGACCAACGAAGAUGUCUCAAUAAGAGAUAAAGAAGGAAUGUAGAAAAGAGAAUAAGUAAAAGAAAGUGGAGGAUUUAAAAAAUGUAUAAAAAUUACAAGGUAGCCAUAUGAGUCUACAUGAAGCCCUUGGGUAGGUAGGUACGUAGGUCCUUGAACCUAUUCAAUUGGUAAAGACAGGUGGAGUUGAGCUUUAAGGUUCCCAUGUGGAGGCUGCACCACAAUUUGCUAAGGACCUGCUGCAGCUUGUGUGGCACCCUAUGGGCAAACAUUUACACAAAACGAUCUAUUGGUCGUAUAUUGGGAUUACUAUAUAUUGGUUACAGUUUAUUCUCUAUACAAAGACUCUGGAAUAAAUAUUAACCUGAAAAUUAUUUUAUGAAAUUCCAACCCAGUCAAAAUAUAUCAUAAGACCAAAUAAGGAUUACUCUGUCUUCUGGUAUUAUUAGUAAUAUGAUUGCCAUUUACAAUAUUAUAAAGGGUGAAAUUUAACAAUAAAUGAAACAAUUACAAAAUAUUACAGGAACAAUAGAUUGAAGAGGACCCUCAAACAAGUACAAUCGAGAGGAGUUGAAGUAUAAAAACACAACUGGAAAGGUAUAUCCUCAAGUUGAGAAAACUUGACAAAUGGUCUUUUGAGAUCCUCCACGGACUGUAUUGUACUCAGUGCAUGAGAGUGCAGCACCAAUGUCGGCUACCAACAGAUAAAAUGCCAGGAGCAGAGUCUUGAAGAUGGCAGCGCCUGUGGGGGAUAGCAACAGGUAAGUAUAACUGACUUCUGCUGCACCACCAGGCCACCUCACCCAUGUCACCAUUGGAUUUUUUUUUUAAACUUUGCAAACACCCUAGAAGGUGACAGAGCUGCUUUAAGGUUGUAGAUCUUUGAAUUCACUCCUAGUAUAGAAAUCUGAAUGGUCAGUAUAAUAUAUUUAUAAAGCUCCUAGAAAAAGAGAGACACUAGGAUAAAAAAGAGGGACAGGUGGCUUUGGGCCCAAUGUAGGGACUGUCCCUCCUAAACAGUGACAGUUCGGAGGUAUAGAAUCCAAUCCUCUUCAUUGAGGACCAUCGGGGACUUGAUGCGCAUGUGUUGCAAACGCAUCUAAUGAUUCUCAUAAUUAAGCACCAAAUCCAAUGCAUUCUUGUAAUCUGCAAUGUCACACGGCCAUGCUUUACUCGGUCAGUGCAGCAGAAGCAUGUCGAGUGGCUGUCACUAAAGGCUUGUUUAAUAUUUUAAGGCAGACACUGUCGUUUGUGAAAAACCUCAAUGCUUAAAAUUACAGGACCCCUGCACCCAGACCAUGUUACUGAAAUGAAGUUGUCUGGGUGAUUUUAGUGGUCCUUUAAAUACUGCCAAAUAGAACUACGUGCAGCUUUUUUGAGAAAUUGGAUAAAGUUUUUCUUAAUCCAAAUAUGGGAAGCAAUGCAAUAUUCAUAUAUAUAAAGAAUUAUUUUGGAAACCAGCUCUCAAAAACUGGGUUCCGGAACGUCAAAAUACUAAAACUAACUGUCUUUUAGGUAAUGCUCACCAGUUAUUUAGCACUCUGUUUAUCGUUUGGACUAUUUCACAUAUUAUAUAUAUAUAUCCUGUAAUUGACACUGAAAAUGGUAGGAUCAACCUGCCUUGCAUCUGUACCAUAUGGUCGGACACAAAUUAUUUCGCGGAUUGAAAUUCAUAGAAAGAAUGAUUGGAACUAGGCAGCUGCUGGGUUUAUAGAAACUGGGUUUAUAGAGCAACUUGGAAAAUAAUAAAGUAUGUCUUCUAUACUUCUACUGAAGACACUUCUAAGAAUUAACGGGACACUAUAGUCACCAGAACAACUACAGCUUAUAGUAGUUGUUCUGGUGUCUGUAGUUAGUACCUGCAGCCUUUUUGCUGUAAACACUGGCUUUUCAGAGAAAAGACAGCGUUCACAUUGCUGCCUAGGGACAUAUCCAGUGGCCACUCCUCAGAUGACCACUGGAGGUGCUUCCUGGGGCAGUGCUGCACAGACGUUCAGCACCCCCACUCACCACCUUGAUGAUCUCAGCCAAUCCAAUGCUUUUCUUAUGGAAAAUUAUUGGAUUGGCUGAGAGCAGGGGCGUACCUAGAGCAUUUGGCACCCGGGGCGGAUCCUGUGCUUGGCACCCCGGCAAAAAAAAACCUGUAAAAAAAUGUAAAGGUUCUCUUUUUUUUUUUUACAAUUUGUUACAGGCAGACAGUCACAUACAGUCACAGGCAGACAGUCACACAUACACAUUUCCUCCGUGCGGCCAGUUUAUCAGCUGUUUGCUUGUGUGAGCUGUACUGCCACAGCCCCCUCCAGCCAGGGCCGGUGCAAGGAUUUUUGCCGCCCUAGGCAAAAGUAAAGUUUGCCCCCCUCCCCCCCAUGUGACAUCACAAUGCCCCACUCCAUAUGAUUUGCCAUGUUAACUAACGCCAGUGCUGCAGUGCCGCCGUGUUUACAUUAAAAGGCCUGCAGGGACAGGCUAUAGACACCAGAACCACUACAUUAAGCUGAAGUGGUUCUGGGGACUAUAGUGUUUCUUUAAUGUGAGGUAAAUUAGAGCUUAGUGCCUCGAAUAAUAUACUAGAUUGCCUACUUACAACCAGAUGAGGAUGAUGAUGGGCUCUAGCUGCAGUCUGGCUUCACUGGUCUGGUGCAGAACAGUCUCUCUGCAGGCGGUUUGUAACUGUGGUCACAAAAAUCACAGUUCUGGGAGAGCGGGAAGCAGCUCCAUUUUUUGGGGGUCCUUUACACAGCUCAAGGUCUGGGUUCCAGGGUCCACCUUCAUGUUCCACCAAUGAGUUUGUUCACAGGGGGUGGAGUGUGUAGGGGAUGUCCUGAUAUGUGUGUAAGGAAUGCAUUGUGUGAAAUUGUGUUUGUAUGUGUGAGGGCUGCAAGGUGUGUUUCUUUGUAUGUAUGGGAUGCAUUUAAUGUGUGUAAGGGGUGCAUUGAGUGUGUGUAAGGAAUGCAUUGUGUGUUUCUGUGUGUGUAAGGGAUGCAUUGUGUGUAACGGUUGCAUUGCUUGUGUAUGUGUGUCUGUGUGUGUAAUGCAUUGUGUGUUUUCCUGUGUGCAAGGGGGUGCAUUGUGUGUAUGUGAUGAAUGUCAAUCUCUCCUCCCGCUCCAAUUUCCUUCUCCUCCUCCCAAUUUCUCUUUCUCACCCCCCCUCCUAAUUUCUCUCCCCCCUCCUAAUUUCUCUUUCUCUUUCCCCCUCCUAAUAUCUCUCUCCUCCCUCCUAAUUUCUCUUCCCCUCCUAAUUUCUCUCUCACCCCCUCUCUCCUUUCUCACCCCCUCCUUUUCUCUCCCCCCCCUCCUUUUCUCCUCCCCCCCCUCCUUUCCUUUCUCCUCCCCUCCCUUUCUCUUUCUCACCCCCUUUCUCCUCUUUCUCACACCCCUCCACCCUUUCUCACUUUUCCCCCCACUUUCUCCUCUUUCUCACCCUCCUCCUUUCUCACCCCCUUUCUCCUCUUUCUCACCCCUUUCUCCUUUUCACCCCCCCCCUCUCUUUUUCACCCCUCCUUUUUCCACUCCCCCUCCUUUUCACCCCCUUCUCCUCUUUCACCCCUCUCCUUUUCACCCCCCCCUACCUCUUUUCACCCUCUCCUCCUUCACACCCCCCCUUUCUCUUUUCACCCCCCUCUCUCCUCUUUUCACCCCCCUCCUUUUUUCACCCCCUUUUCUCCUCUUUCACCCCCCCUCCUCCUUUUCACCCCCCCUUUCUCCUCUUUCACCCCCCUCUCCUUUUUCACCCCCUCCUCUUUUUCACCCCCCCUUUCUCCUUUUUCACCCCCACUUUCUCCUCUUUCACCCCUCUCCUUUUCACCCCUCUCCUCUUUUUCACCCCCCUCUCUCCUCUUUUCACCCCCUCCUUUUUCACCCCCCCUUUCUCCUCUUUCCCCCUCUCCUUUUCACCCCUCUCUCUUUCACCCCUCUCCUUUUUCACCCCCCUCUCCUCUUUUCACCCCUUUCUCCUUUUUCACCCCUUUCCUCUUUCACCCCUCCUUUUCACCCCCCCUCUCCCUCUUUUCACCCCCCUUUCUCCUCUUUCCACCCCCCUCUCUCCUUUUUCACCCCCCCUCCCCCCUACCUCCCUGUAGCGUGGCCGAGCACAGUAUAGUCCGCGGGUACAGAGAGCAGCUGUCUCCUGUACCCGGCCGGACUAACAGGAAGUGAACACUGAGUGUGCACUUCCUGUUAGUCCGGUCGGGUACAGGAGACAGCUGCUCCCUGUACCCGCCGGCUAUGCAGGGCUCGGCCACGCUACAGGGAGGGAGCUGACAGGAGCGCUCCCUCCUGUCAGCCUCUCCUCAGGCUGCGCCCGGGCGGUGCGGUCCGCCCUCAUGGACGCACCGCCCGGGCAAUGCUGCAGCCGCCUGAGGCUCAAUACAGAGCGCUCGGGCGGCUGCAGCAUAUGGGGGGGGGGGCUGAUCAUGGCACCCGGGGCGGACCGCCCCCCCCGCCCCCCCCUUAGUACGCCACUGGCUGAGAGCAACAAUUGUGAUGAUGUCAGCCAAGGAGGUGAAUCAGGGGCAAGGCCAGCACCGGCAGGCCUGCGUGGCUCUGGAAAUAAGGUACGCUUUCUUACCUUUUAAGAGGGACAAGAGGGGGCAAACCACAUAUUUGUGUUCCUGACCCCAUAGUGUUCCUUUAACCAAACAGAGAAACAAUGUUUAGCUAACUAUAUAGUGAAACACUCAUGUCUUUUAAUGUUGCAUGGAAAAAUUGCAUUAGGCCCGCUUGUGGUUAACAGAUUUUUAUGAGGACAAUUGUGAUUGGACUUCAAGAUGUGAGUAUUUGUGAAUUCUCACAAUUGUCAGACUUUCCCCAAUGUGAGUCAAGCAGAAUUCCCUAAUAGCAUUGCUUUGCCCCUUCUUCGUAUUCUUCCCUCCUUUAGAUCCCAAUUUAAAAAAACACAAGAAAGUGAGAUAAAGAAGGUCCGUUAAAGCAAUAUUGCAAUUAUUGCCAGUUAUGAACACAAAAAAAACAGUGAAAUUCAAAAAUGGGUCUUUGUGGACUUUCACCUUAAAGAAAUAAAUUACAUUAUUAAUGGGAGGAGAAUCCACAAUAAUUACAGUAAGAAUUCUAUUCUGAAAUGGUAAAAUACACAAAGACACCAAAUAUCAAGUACAGAUGUUUAUUUGGGAACCCUUUCCCUAAGAUGUGGAGUCAAUGGAGGUAAGACUUUGAAAACACUACAACUUGAAUAACAGGUAGAUGGAGGAAGUGUAGAUCAGUCCUAGUGAUGGGCCCAUGAGUUAGUUUCAGGCCAACUUACAUUCUCUUUGCAAAAGUAUAAGUAUUGCUAAUCAAAGAUCUUAAGCUGGAAAGAUAAGGUCCUGCUAAGCAUUAUGAGACAUUUUGUGACCUAAGAAACAGACAAAAAAAAGCUUAGAAAAUAUCUUGGUAUUCCACACAUAUUGGCUUUAGGACAGCAUUACGUGCAUGUUUGUUUUGAGGAAAGGCUCACAGACACAAAAAUGACUAACAAAAAACAUAAAGGACUUUCCAGGAGAACUGUAAGUCCAAAUGAUAUAUAGACUAAAAUAGACAGCGAUGGAAAACUCUGCGUACCAAAUUCAGACUCCAGUGAGGAGUAAAUAAAUGUAUAGCAAUAACAUAACAGAAAAUGAGUACAUACAAUAAGGAUGUACAAAGAGCUGGACUCCCAGAAAACCAGUCGACUCCUUGCAAGAAAUGUGCAAUAUCUAGUUAUCGAAAGGUUCCCGUUAGAAACUCUAGGAAGAAAUCCAAGAAAGGAAUGUUCUGCAAUGAAUGAUGAGGUCAGUAGCAAACAUUUAACCUUCGCCUAAGGUGCUGAUGAUCCAACUGGACAAACUUUCAUCAUGCAAUAUUAUCUGCUCAACACCAAUCCAUCUAAGACUGGAGUCAACAAAGGGACAUAGCUAGAAGAGGUCAGGUGGAACAUGAUACUUAACAGCUUUCUUAGAUGUUCUGCUGAUGCCACCCUAAGCCAAUCAGGAUUACAUACAGAUUUGUAGUACAUGCUAAAGAGACCAGGUAGAUAAUCCUGAUAUUCCCCUUCCAGAGAGGCAUUUUAAGCACCUCCACUCUUCUCCAUGUGUCCACUAGUUAGGCUGGAUCCUGAUAAAGGAUGGACUUAGACAUUAAGGAAUUUUCAACACAACUGUCCACUAACACAAAGUUCUGGACAUCAUAAAUAUGAACUCUUUAUCCCUCUUUGGUGUUUGACACAAGCAACUGUCAUGACACUACUCAUCUGAAUGCAGAUGUGUGAGACUUGACCAAUACUGAACCAGUACGGAACGUCACUUGUAUACCUGAAGACUGAUUGUGAAAACACCUCCAGACCACUCCACAGCCUUUCAGCCUGGCAUCUGUUAUCACCAUAGAGCAUGAAAAAGACACGCUCUUGAAAUGAUGACUGACUCACCACCCCAGAGAUUUCCAGAUAUUUGGUUCCAAAAUAAUUAAUUGGGAAACAUCCUCAUAGUUUCAUCCCACUAGCAAAGCCAAGACAGCUGAAGCAAAUAUACCCAGUGGCGUACUAAGGGGGGGCGGCGGUGGCGGUCUGCCCCGUGUGCCACUCACUAGGGGGGUGCCCGGGGAGAACUUUCACAGAGGCGGCAUUCCCAUCCAGCAGCAGUAGGUCCUCUGCUCUCGCGGAUCACGAGAACAGAGGACCCUGCUGCUGCUGCUAGAUGGGAAACGAGGAUGCAGAGUUCUGGGCCCCUCUUCACUGCCCAUCCAUGCUGUGCCACCGGACCACCAGUCGAGGAGGAUGGGACGGGCAGGUAAGUGGCAGCACACACUAUACACACUGCAUCUGCACACACUAUACACACACUAUACACACACUGCAUACACUAUACACACACUGCAUACACACACUGUAUACACACACACUGCAUACACUACAUACAUUAUACACACUUCAUACACUACACACACACUGCAUACACUAUACACACACUGCAUACACUACAUACACUACACACACACUGCAUCUGCACACACUAUACACACAUUGCACACACUACACACACACUGCACAUACUACACACACACUGCACAUACUACACACACACUGCAUACACUAUACACACACUGCAUACACUAUACACACUGCAUACACUACACACACUGCAUACACUACACACACACUGCAUACACUAUACACACACUGCAUCUGCACACACUAUACACACAUUGCACACACUACACACACACUGCACACACUACACACACACUGCAUACACUAUACAUACUGCAUACACUAUACACACACGGCACACACUAUACACACACUGCAUAUACUACACACACACUGCAUACACUAUACACACACUAUACACACACUGCAUACACUAUACACACACUGCACACACUAUACACACACUGCAAACACUAUACACACACUGCACACACUGCACACACUAUACACACACUGCACACACUAUACACACACUGCAUACACUAUACACACUGCAUACACUAUACACACACUGCAUACACUACACACAUACUACACACACUGCAUACACUAUACACACACUAUACACACACUGCAUACACACACCGCAUACACUAUACACACACUACAAUACACACUCUACACACACUAUACACACACUACACACUAUACACACACUGCCCACUAUACACACACUGCAUACACACACACACUGCCAACACUAUACACACACUACACACACUAUACACACACUACACACUAUACACACACUGCAUACACUAUACACACACUGCACACACUAUGCACACUGCAUACACUAUACACACACUAUACACACUGCACACACUAUACACACACUGCAUACACUAUACACAAACUACACACACUAUACACACACUGCAUACAGUAUACAUACACUGCAUACACUAUACACACAAUGCAUACACUAUACACACUGCAUACACUAUACACACACUGCAUACACUAUACACACACACUGCAUACACUACAUACAUUAUACACACUGCAUACACUACACACACACUGCAUACACUACACACACUGCAUACACUAUACACACUGCAUACACACACACUGCAUACACUAUACACACACUGCACAGUGCAUACACUAUACACACUUCAUACACUAUACACACACUGCAUACACUACACAGACUGUAUCCACUAUACAAGCGCACACACUGCAUCCACUACGCAAACACACACUUAUACAUGUGUAUCUGUAUGUAUGUGUAUCUGUUUGUGUGUUUGUGUCGGUGUGCCUGUGUAUCUGUAUAUAUGUGUCUAUCUGUAUGUGUGCCUGUCUCUCUCUCUGUGUUUGUAUCUGUAUCUGUGUAUGACUGUGUUUCUAUAUAACUGCAUGUGUGUACCUGUGUGUCUGUGUAUCUGUAUGUGUGCCAGUGUGUGUAUAUGUGAGUAUAUGUGUUUAUGUACAUACAUCUCAGCAUUUCGUCUACACUACAUACAAAUACAACACUGCAUCCAAAUGUCACCACCAUAUUCAAAAACCACACUACAGAAAAAUGCACGCCUUCAAAUGCCAAUACGUGCAAACACAUCCGUACAUUCACUCACACAAACUCAAUACAAAAACAUGCUUACAUUAAAAAUAUACAAACGCUGCUCAGUGCCAAAUACAUUAAAAAAAAUUGUGCAGUUGUUUUUUACAUUUCAAAGUUGGGAGAGGGGUGGGGGGGUGCCAAAUAAAGGAUCUGCCCGGGUGCCUAAUGCUCCAGCUACGCCCCUGAAUACACCUUAAUCAGUAAGAUCUCCGUGGAAUCCACCAUUGUGGUAUAUUUAAUUUGUGAGCUCCAUGGUACAGCCCAUGCAGAUAUUCUCUAUUAGGAUUAGGUGAAAAAACAAGUUUCAUAGAGGUAGAGUCAGUAACAAAGCAUGCUUACACUUCGGUGCAACGUCUUUGUUUUGUCAUGUCAUUUUGGAAUAAAGCAUUCAAUUUUUUACACAUUCUUACAGAGAAUGAUAUAGAGUGUGGUCUAAAAUCCAAUGUCCUAUAUGAUACAUCUUGUGCAGCUAGGCAGAAAGGAAUAAAAAUAAGAAAACAUAUUUUUUUAAUGAAAAUAAAUCAACACUUAGACAAGAACAGGAAACUUGAGUAACCUGGGUGAUGGUUUCUUAAAGAAUCUAAUCCUUGAAAAAAACUCUAAUAUGCGCAACACCCCUAGGAGUAGGGAAUGUGUUUACUUCAGUUUAUAAAUAAAUGGGAAUUUUUUUCUCAAACACAGAAGAUGUAAGAGAACCUGCAGAAAAAAAACCAAAUUAUAAUUUUUUUAGAGUCAAAACUGACACAAGUUGGAGGGAGGGAAAGUACCUACCCUUAAUAGGGCAACUAUGAGGCAAAUGAUCAACGACCCUGCAAAGUCAACCGGCAAUAAACUUUCAAAGAAGGUCCUAAGUGAGAGUCAUUAAUGGUCCCCUCAUACUGACCAUUAACAGAAACCAGAAAUUGCACCAAGUCAAUAAACCGUAAGCUACGUCCUGGAACUUGCCAAGCAUAGAACCUUCCACAGUCACACAAAUGGAAUUCUCAGGUGCCUUGUUCAGUACGUAUGUGGUCCAGUCUAUGAAGAGGGGUCCAGGGAGAUAGGUAGGAAAUAAAUCCUCUUCACAGCAGGUUGGAAAUUUUAGGUCAAGUCCAAAGGAGAGACAACAAGCAAAAAACGCAACCAUACAUAGCAGAGCUGUGAUUUAAACAAGAUGGCCUCCAUAAGAACUGGGGAGAGAACACAGUCAGAAAUGGGACUUCCAACAAAAACUAUUGGAUUCUAAGCAUGAUGCUAACAGAGACAUAGACAUCAGUGCUAACCAGGCAGUUUACCAACUUAGGAAAUCAAAAAAGUACUAACACACUGAAUCACUACUGAAUAACUUAGAUAUAUAGACUAUAGAUAUAUAGAUAACGGCAAUUAAAAUCUAAUUUUACUCGCAUGUAGAUCCAGUAAGGCAUGGUUUAUCUUCGUAUUAUCCCUAGACCAACUAUUAGUUACUAGAGAUGUUGCGAACCGUCCGCAAACUUCUCACGAACGGUUCGCCACAAGCUGUUCGCGGUGAACAGCUCAUGGCGAACCACGGCGAACCGUUCGCGACAUCUCUAUUAGUUACCCCUUACCAUUCUUGCUUCGAAAAGGGGGAAAACUUCAGAACUUGACCAGUUUUACCUGUUCCUGCAUUGGGCAUAAACAGAAAUGUGGCCUGGAGGUUUAUCUGAAAAGGGGUGGGUGCAAGCGUUGCUGGGUGUUCUGCAUUUUCCUGGUGGGGAAGGUCAGAAUCCCAACAUGGGUGAUUAAUGGUCUCACAUAUUAAAAAUAAAACAGGAUUAUGUUUUCCAAACAGUGAGCUAAUUCUGAAGAAGGCAGAAUUGAAUAAUUUAGUAAAACAGGUCUAUACAAAUUCGGAGACACUAUAUUGUCAUGUUAACAUUUGAAUAGAGUUACAUUUAUAUUUCAGGUAUCCCGAGGCACAGCAAGUAUCUGCUUCUGUGCCAAGUCUUUAAAAUAAAAAAACAAAUAAAUUAAGAGAUGUCUUUUUCAAGAGUGAAAUAUGGGCAUGAAUGAGGCAAAAAGUUUGUGUCUUCAUAAAAGGGUUAAUGAAAGUUAUAAAUGAUAAUAUAUGUACAUAUCUUAAAGAAAAUAACAAUGCUUUUGCUGACUUUUUGUCGUUAAGUUACAUCUAAUAUUAUUUUUUUUUAAAUAUGAGCGUCCAUUGCAAAUGGUCUGUUUGGAGACCAAGGAGUCCAUGGGGGAAGGACAAAAGAAUCGGUUUGCGUAAGAACUGACAUACAUCCAGCCCAAUAAAGCAUGUUGCUUAGGUCUGUUUGUUGGUAACUUGUCAACCCUUUGGAAAGUACAGAAAAAUAAUUUUUUCUUUUUUACACAACACAAAUGCUGUUUCAUCUGGUGUGUGACUAAAGUGAUCCCACAGUUUUAGCCCCCUUACCAGUCUUUAUCUGUUUAGAGAACUAACUUGCAUUUAAUUUUUAACCCUUUAAGGCCCUGAACAGUUGACCGAUACAUUGCCACAAUCAGGAUUAACAGUGCCCCAUCCAAUGAGGACCAUACCGAACUCCAAAAAAUGUGUUCAAACUUUUUUCAAUCACGUAUUUCAAUGACAUUGUAAAGCACCUGCCAGUUAAGGUCUGAACCAGAAAAUUCUCUAAAGCAUAGCCGAGGAAGUAAAUUCUUAUAUUUGUUACAAUUUUUCAUUUCACUGUAAGCUGUUAUAAUGUCUGCCUCGUGUAUUAUUACACCUCUGCAUUCUUAAAAUUGUCAUUUUACGGUCUGUUAUUAUGAGUUUUGCCUCUUUAGCUUUCAAGAAAAUUAAUCUACAGAAGAACAUACCUAAAUAUCAGUUAAUUACUUGUAUUCAUUAUUUUCUGCUUUCCAAAUCUAUUAUUAGUAAUAUUGCACGUGUAUCCCUAAAAUACAGUAUAUUAUUCAUACUUGUUUGUGCAACAAAGGUUCAUAUUUAUCAAAACUAUAUUAUGUUAAAAUGAAAUAGACUCAGAGUGAGCUAAUAGGCUUAUAAUGUAUCAUUAAUGCGAAAUAUUAAGUAAUAAAACUGAAAAUAAAACAAUAACGGCAACAAAAUAUUUUUUUAUUAAAAAUAAAAUUAAAAAUACGACAAAUAUUUUUGAAACAAAAUCAAAAAAAGUUUGGAAUUGCUAGAAGUUUGCAUAUCAGACAUGUGGAGGUUAAUUCAGUAAAACAAGAAUUGUGGAAAAUUGAGAUUGAGAGUUGCAAAUGUGAAGCCUAAAUACUCGAAAUGUUAAAACAUCUCAACUUUAGUUUUUUUCCAAUUCUGCAAUUUGGACUAAAUUUGCAUUUCCCACAAUUCUUCGCAAUUGCCAAUUUAGUGAAUACACUCUCUAAAGUAUAUAAUCUCUGACUUUAUUAGAGGAACCAGUGACAGAUCAAAGUGUAUAUUAAAUGUUGGGUAGAAAUUGAUGGUAAAAAAAAAAAAUAAUAGCGGUUUUUAGGUUUUAAUAAUGAUAAGAAUUGUCUUUUAUUUACCUAUUUAAAUAUGAUGAAAAAAAAAAUAUUUUACUUUCAUUUAGUUUUGCUUUUGAAUUUUGUUUUUUCCAACAAAUCACCACAUUUUUUGUAACUUAUUCUAAUGCAACAAGCCUGACUUUCACCACCGACAUGUUUCUAAUGUAAUAAAUGUUUUUAUAAGAAGCUAAUAACCGUUCUGACUCUGCGUUCUCAGACUCUGAAAAAUAAUUUUGCACAAAGUCAAUUCCUGUCUCGUGUUCAGAGUCAGAUCUAAUGCUCACACAAUCCCAAUUCACACACUUUCUUAAUUUAGGCCAUUUUCUUCAUAUAGUUUCAUCAACGCAAUUCCAAGGAUUCUCCUAGGGCCGUCUUAACAGCAUUAUAGGCCCCCGGGCCAAGCAGUGCACUUGGACCAUGCCUACUCAACCACUCACAGGAAUAAAAAUGUAAUUAUCGAUAAAAUUAAGCUCAUAUUCAUUGCUUACUUCAACAUCAGUGUUUAAACAUUAAAAAACAUGCUGUACAACAGAGAUUAAUCUACAGAAAUGUUUAGUGGGUAACUGGGACUGUUAAGAAUAUUAGAAUCAUUUUAUUUUUGCUUCAAGAAAUGAUGUGUGUUGAUUUCGUCUUGCUUAUAAACAAUUAGUAUGCGUGCAUUGUUUUCAUCAAGGUCAAGAUAGGUAUUUGUAACAGCAAGAUCACAUGUACAGAUAACAGCUGAUACUGAGGUGAUUAGUCCACCUAAAUGUUUUAAUUAAGAGGGUUUGAAGAUUCUGAAUAAAUCUCCCAGAAUAAUAUAAUGAAAGGUUGGCAAACCUAUGGGGUUCCUAUGCUCUUGGGGCCCCCAGGCAACUGCCCAGCGCGCCCAUGUGUUAAGACAGCCAUGGAUUCUCUGGCCUGCACUAAAUGAUAAAAUAUAUAAUAUUUUACCUGAUUAAAACUAAAGAGAGCUAUGUAUUAAUAAUGCGGGACAUAAUCCCCAACACUGUUGCCAAUGCUGUAGAUUUAACAAGAGUGAUAGCUAUGUCUAGGGACCGAAUCGGCAGUCGGCACCAGUUUGCAUCCUUGUGUGUAGCGAGGUUCUUGCCAGCCCACAACUACAAUGGUGAAUGAGGGUUAUCGAGACAUAAAACCAUUUAAAGGAACAGUCACAAUCAAACAACAAAAGACAACAAGGAGAUCAGUUGCAGCUAGCUAGUUAACGGAUAGUGUCCAUUCCCUUUAUGCAGCCAAUUUGAAAAUUAAUUUUAUAACAUUUAUAGACAAAUUGUGCAUCUUUAAUAAACUAUGGGAAUCCUGGCACUGUAAGAGGGGUCCCCUACCUUAAACCCCCCUUUGUUAUUGAUUUGUUUACACAGAUAUACCUCUCGUAAUGAUCGUAAUGCUAUUGCUCAUUUUAUCGUAUAUUUAUUAAUCUGUACAAUGAGUGUUUAAUAAGUAAUUAUAUAAACAAAACAAGUAAAACACAUUGUUGCCUGUAUAAAAACACGGUUUUUAUUCAUACCCAUGGGUUUAAAGGCAUUAUGUAGUAUUACAUGCAGACAUACCCUACAUGGUAACAUAUAGUGCCCAGACACACUGCAUCGAGUGCCAAUUUGUGCCUCAGUUACCCAUACGUUUUUGUAUGGAUCUGAAUGAGCUUUUUCGGUUUCAGAACACAGUAUAAUGACCGCCUCUGUAUACACCUAGUUAUCAUUAGAGAAAGUAAUCUGUAUGUUUUAAAUAAUUUUGUUAGGUUAAGGUUAGACAGUGAUUUUUUUAUGGGUGCACACACUCAUUAAUGACGUAUUGUGAGUGCCAGUGAUGGUAGGUAGCCGUACUCCUAGACUCCUCGCCGCUAUGACACGUUAUAAGAGACAAUAUAGACUAGGUUUAUAUCUGUGACACUAUAAUGGACCUGCAUUCUUUCACUGAUGAAUCACAAUGUUUUGGGAUGAGGCGUAGCACAAUGGCAAAACAUCCUUCACAAAGAGACUAGCCAUUUUAGUUUAAAAAUGUCAUCAUCUAUCUUUAAUACACUCUCCUUAUCCCCAAAGGCGAUGUAAUAUAGUCAGAAAAAUCACAUUGAGAAAAAUAAAUAAAAAUUGGAAAAAAACAUAUUAUUACGUAAAAUCUCACACUUAUAGUUUAAUUUUCACUUUUGCGUGGAUAUGAUGUCUAUAUUUUCAUUCAGUCUGUGUUUUCGGUUACCAUUUUAAAUUUGCGUGUUUCAGAUUUUCUCGCUAGUGUGGCUUCAUUGAACGGCAUUUGACUUCACUGACAAACAUUGAAGCAUAAAUAACUAAACCCCAACAUUUAGUAAAUGAAAUCCAAACAGCAAAAUUCAGGCUAAAAUAACAUGAAAAAUUCUCCAUCUUGGCUAAAAACACAGCUUGGCUUUUUUAGCCUUAAUUUUGCCAUUCAGUCUGAAUCUGAUCAAUUUGGAACAGGAGCCUGUAUUAGCCAACCAUGAUCCCAUUGCGCCAGUCUGCCCUCCUGCACAUAAAAUCUGUUAGCUCUUGCAGCGGACGCAAUGUAGUUGUCAAACCGUUUGAAUAUGGAUUGACUUCUUACCAUGGGAGUGCGGCAGGCCAGUCCUGGCACCAUAACUACUAUAGUAGCUCCUUUAAUGGCUUCACUUGAAAUAAAUAUGUUGUGAGAGCCAGAUAUCCCACAAGGCCACAGAGGCCAUGACCUUGUAGCGGCAAGCGGGGGUGGGCGACCUCAAAGCUGUUGGGGAUUUGACGCCAAUCUCCUGGUCGCAAAUCUAUUUCCCAGUAUCUAACGUCUGAUGUAGAAGCCAGGAGGUCCACUGUACCGCUCCUUGUACAUACACUAAGCAGAGAGAUAUACAGUGCACACAUGUAGACACACAGGAUAUACACUAAGCAGAGAGAUAUACAGUGCACACAUGUAGACACACAGGAUAUACACUGAUCAGAGAGAGCUAUACAGUGCACACAUGUAGACACACAGGAUAUACACCGAUCCGAGAGAGAUAUACAGUGCACACAUAUAGACACAUGGGAUAUACACUUAGCAGAAAGAUAUACAGUGCACACAUGUAGACACACAGGAUAUACACUAAGCAGAGAGAUAUACAGUGCACACAUGUAGACACACAGGAUAUACACUGAUCAGAGAGAGCUAUACAGUACACACAUGUAGACACACAGGAUAUACACCGAUCCGAGAGAGAUAUACAGUGCACACAUAUAGACACAUGGGAUAUACACUUAGCAGAAAGAUAUACAGUGCACACAUGUAGACACACAGGAUAUACACCGAUCAGAGAGAGAUAUACAGUGCACACAUGUAGACACACAGGAUAUACACCGGUCUGAGAGAGAUAUACAGUGCACACAUGUAGACACAUGGGAUAUACACUUAGCAGAGAGAUAUACAGUGCACACAUGUAGACACACAUGAUAUUCACUAAGCAGAGAGAUAUACAGUACACACAUGUAGACACACGGGAUAUACACUGAGCAGAGAUAGAUAUGCAGUGCACACAUGUAGACAAACAUGAUAUACACUGAGCAGAGAGAUAUACAGUGCACACAUGUAGACACAUGGGAUAUGCACUGAGCAGAGAGAUAUACAGUGCACACAUGUAGUCACACAGAAUAUACACUGAGCAGAAAGAUAUACAGUGCACACAUGUAGACACACAGGAUAUACACUGAGCAGAGAUAGAUAUACAGUGCACAUAUGUAGACACACAGGAUAUACACUGAGCAGAGAUAGAUAUACAGUGCACACAUGUAGACACACAGGAUAUACACCGAGCAGAGAGAUAUACAGUGAACACAUGUAGACACAUGGGAUAUACACUGAGCAGAGAUAGAUAUACAGUGCACACAUGUAGACACACAGGAUAUACACUGAGCAGAGCGUGAUAUACAGUACACACAUGUAGACACACGGGAUAUACACGGAGCAGAGAUAUAUACAGUGCACACAUGUAGACACACAGGAUAUACACUAAGCAGAGAGAUAUACAGUGAACACAUGUAGACACACAGGAUAUACACUGAGCAGAGAGAUAUACAGUACACACAUGUAGACACACAGGAUAUACACUGAGCAAAGAGAUAUACAGUGCACAGAUGUAGACACACAGGAUAUACACUGAGCAGAGAGAUAUACAGUGCACACAUGUAGACACACAGGAUAUACACUGAGCAGAGAGAUAUACAGUGCACACAUGUAGACACACAGGAUAUACACUGAGCAAAGAGAUAUACAGUGCACAUAUGUAGACACACAGGAUAUACACUGAGCAGAGAGAUAUACAGUGCACACAUGUAGACACACAGGAUAUACACUGAGCAGAGAGAUAUACAGUGCACACAUGUAGACACACGGGAUAUACACUGAGCAGAGAUAGAUAUACAAUGCACACAUGUAGACACACAGGAUAUACACUGAGCAGACAGAGAUACAAUGCACACAUGUAGACACACAGGAUAUACACCAAGCAGAGAAAACACUGUACAGCCUCUAUUCCUCUAAAAACAGCACAGACUCUACCCCCCUAAACAUACACUACACCCCCUUCUCCCCCUAAACACACAAUACAACCGCUAUCCCCCCAAACACACACUACAGCUCCUAUACCCCUAAACACACAUUAAAGUCCAUAUCCAAGUACAGCCCCUAUUCACAUGCGCACACACAUACUACACCGCAAACAGCCAUAUCCACAGACAGAGCCCCACAACAAGCUCUCUUCUACUACUACAUUUUUACUCCCUGUCCCCGCCCUCCCCCCAAACUUGUAUUAUCACAUCUAAAUGUGAUAGACAAAUUUAUAGGUACCAAUAAUCUUUUCUUGUUUUUUUUUUUUUUUACCGCAUUUUUAUAAGCGGACUUGUCUACCAUGUUUGCAUCGAUGUUGGCCAGUGAGAUCGGUGGCUAUCGGUGGUCCUAAACCACUAUUUUUAUACACCAGCAUUCAGGACAGAAGGCAGAUCGUUUUUGGAUCGUUCUGUUUGUACAUUGAGGCUGAAUACUUUAAUCCAUAUUGCUGUCAAGGUGUGAUGGGAGUUGGGCAUAGAUCUAAAAUCUGUUCAUACCACAUUUUUUAUUCAUUGUGGAGAAUUCUUACCUAUUAUUAUUUUUUAUUAUAUUAUUCUUAGUUUCCUCAAUCACUAAUAUUGUCACAAGGAGGAAAAAAACAAUGAACUUUUUGAUCGAGCUAAGAGAAAGAGUUGUCUGUGGUGUUAAAUAUUCCACAUGUACAUGCUGUAAGUCAAGCCUGCCUUAACAGAGGACACACAAAGAUUAUACAUUAUUUUACUAUGUUUAAAACCCCACCUGGGGAGGGCAGUAGGUGGUAGAAGGGGUACAGCUCGUCACCUGCUUACAAACAUUGUACAGGGGAGGGAGCAAACACAAGAACUCUCUCUUGAAUUAAUGCUUAUUUAUUUAAUAUUUAUUAUUUCAGUUUUUGCCAUUAGUUAACAAUGGACAGGAAGAUAUGCACCAUGACUGCUAUUUCACACAAUAUUAUGCAAGUUAGUCUUAAUCAAUGCAAAUGGACGUUUUAUGAAGAGAUCCCUAAAUUAUUCUGUGGAAAAAAAAUAGCAUACGAUAGAUGAAUAAUGCAGGAUACAUUGUGUAAUGUGACAAAUAAAUACAAAAUAAUAAAAAAUGAGAAACAAACUGACUCUGCAACAACAAACCAAAGAGUAACUGUAUAUAGAUAGAAUAGAGUGCACGGAAAAUAUUCUGCCAUGUAUAUUAUUUUAUUAUUUUUACUGGUUUUAUAUAUCUAUACACAGUUGGAAAAACAACCAAGGUAGAGGCUACUUCUUUCUCAGCUACAAUGUCCAUUUAUCAUCUCAUUUCUAUAUCAAAUUAGCUACAAAUCAUUGCUUAGUAAAUAAACCCCACCAACAGACAGAUGGAUCUAUCGAUCGAUGGAAAGAUUAGUAAGGCGUAUAAAUAUAUUUUACAGCAAUUUGGCAUUGAAUCAUUCUGAUUCAAGCUUCUACACAAAGUUAAGAAACUCAAUUACAAAAAUUUAAAAUACAAGAGUUUACUCUGUCAGUAGUCUGUCCGAAUGCUGCAUACGAAUAUAUUCUAAAUAAGUUGCUUAACCAUCUAUUGUGAAAAUGAUCUGGUAAUUGAAGGAUCAAAAGUUUAAAUGAAAGGGAUACUCGGCACAGGAAUAGAUUUUUAGAGUGGGACAGACACGGUAUAUAAUAUACUAUAAAUAUAUAUAUAUACAAGCAGUAAUUUAAUAUAUGAAAAGAGAUUAAAAUAGUAUUUCUUCUGUCAUUUUAUGUCUUUGUGUCCUGAUGAAAGCUCCGAUCGGGAGCUGAAACGUUGACUUUGCUUGAAUUGACAAUAAAUUGGAUGAACUAAACCCAAGAGUGCCGGUAAUUUUUUGAUAUAUAUAUAUAUAUAUAUAUAUAUAUAUAUAUAUACACACACACACAUAUAAGUAUAACAUAAAAUCUUAAGACGGAAUUAUUUUUUACAUACACUAAUAUACAUGUAAAUAUUUCUACAACUGUACAAGAUAUGUUUUUUUUUUAACAUUGAAGAAAAAUCUUUAAUCAAAUAAUGCUGCCCUACAGAACAUGCUGGUGUUAUACACAAAGAUUUUUGUAAUGCUGCCUAUCGUUAGCAAAUGGAAUACAAGCAAUAGAAUCAAUUUCUUUAAGCAGUAACUCGUAAUAUUAACUAGGGUAAGUUUUGUGGACCUGACAUGAUCGCUGCGUGUACUGAGAGCUUGUCAAUCAUUAACCUAGCAUUAUUUACAACCCACGGCAACAUAAAAAUCCCUGUAUUAAGGUAAAAAGGUUUCUCUCUCUAGUGGUAAACGGAGGAAAUGAAGUAUCCAGUCCACUUCUAACGGAGCACCACAGCAUAAUAUUCAUAGAGAAAAAACUGAUAAUUUCAGCUAACGUCCCAUAAAACCUACACUAUGUCAUCCAUAAAGAAUACAGAAUGAGAUGCAGAUGGAAUAACUUUAAAAUGAUUUAUGUCUGUGAAUUGUACUGUUUUUACCCAGAAACCAUGCAAUUUAAUGCUAUUUAAAUGAUAGAAAUUACAAUUUUCUAUCCUCUUGUCUUACAGAUACCGUCAAUCUUACAACAAGUUAAAAGAAGAUACACAUAUUGUGCAAUAUCAAAAACAUUAAAAUAAGACACGUUUUAUCACAGUAAGGUAGUGUGCCACUUUAUCUUUUAUUCAUAAUCUUGUACAAUGUAGAAUUUAGCAGAAAUGUAUACAUUGUUCUGUUGGAAGAGGAAGUUUCUCAGUAAAUGGAAAAGGAUGACAACAAAUGAUGUGAUGUCAAAAAUUGCUAUUAAAGUUUGAUUCAUUUUUUUUUUUUUUUUUAAAUGCAUGUUUUUUUAUGGUUUUUUUUUCCCUCCACUUAUUAGAAACUUUAACAGAGGGGGGAAAAACGUUCUGCUUCAUUAAAUCGGACACUCAGCGAUUCUGUGAAUGCUCGUGCCGAAAUUAGUUCUCUAUUUGGAGAUGCCCCUUUGAGAGCAACUCCUAUUGAGAAGGGAACAAAGGCCGUGACCCUAAAGGUCAAAGAGUAACUGAGGAAGCCUGACCUUUCUUUGUUGAUGACUGCCCUGUUUAUUUUGCUUACUAAAGAUCACCAAUACAUUUACUAAAGAGGAUUAGAAAGGUUAUACCCCCAGGGAUAGAAUUCAGGCAAGUGGUAAAAUCCAGGGCUCAGAACAUUAGCAUGCAUUAUCAAGGCCUACUCUCUCCUAUAAUGAGUGGCAUUAGCUACAGGUUUCAAAAACCUCUCUCUCGGUGACAGGGGACAAGUUGAAGUUCAGCAAUUACUUUAGCGAUGUGUCACCCGUCUGUCUGGCAGAAUAGACGUUAGAAUACGAUCAGUUAAAAAUAAAGAGCUUUUUGAUGGCAUGGGGGAAAGAAGUGUUAAUGAAUGCAGUAAAAUAUUUAUUUUGAUGUAUUUUUUAAAGAUACAUUUUAGGAGUUCCAAUAGUGCAUUCAAUUCAUGUGAGCUAAUGUGGUAACCCAUAUACGGUACAGUAGAAUACAUAGAAUUUAAGAAAAUGAUAUUUCUCUUUAUUCUGAUAAUGGCUAAUAUGUCGCAAAAAUAAAUAUUAAAACCGAACUGUAUAUGUAUAUUAAAUUAUCUAUUUAUCUAUUUAUCUAUCUAUCUAUACACACAUACACACAUACACAAAUAUACACAUACACAAAUACACACACACCUAUUUGUCUAUCGGUCUAGAGAAAGAAGCACUGUCAUUUAAUAUUGAAGUGAGACGGAGGUAGAGCUAUUAUAAAACUGACAUAUCGUGGUUUUGAUCUGCUAGUAAAUGAUUAUUGCAUACACUUACACUAAUCACACAUUUUAUGUUUCCCUUAUUGUAUUUUAUGUUAAUAGUUUCCUAAAAUUAAUUCAUUUUGAAAAAAAACAAAACCCCCAAAGAACAUAUUUAAAAAAUAAAUAAUUAAUGCAUUUAUUUUUAAAUAAACACAAAGUAUUGACUCUUUUUUUUCAGCAAUAUAUUUACCUAGCUGCUGAAUUCCUGAUAUUUGAGAGUUUUGUCCAUGGUUUGUGUUCUGCUCUAAGUCUAUAAGUGCCAUUCUGAUGGGCCACCAACAUUUGACAUGCAAAUCCUAAAUGUAUCUUCUUAGAAUGUUUACGAGGACACGGUACGAUUCGGUUAGUUACAUAAAUUAAUGACAAAUUGUCUCGGAACAAAAAGCAGCAUAAAAGGCUCAGACAGGGCAGGGGUUUGUUUACCAGAGUGCGGGGUCUGGAGACUUGAGAAUCAACUUGCAAUAUUUAGGCUGAGUUGGAAUAAAAUCUCCAAUUCAGCUUUUUUUUCCAUAACUGCUAAUUUUGUCUUAAUUUUAUAAAUGAGCUCUACACUCUACCACAAUGUCUUGUUCAGUAAGUAAAUCCGUACACUAUGCCAUUCUGGCGAUUUCUAUUGAUGUAAUAUUCAGAUCUUUCCUAUUUUUGUACAUUUGUGUCAGAAACAUUCGAAGUGUUAUUACAUAUUUGUCUUUUAAAACAGCUCCCUUUGAUAAUUGCCCCCCACCCCCCCAAAAAAAUAAAAUUAUUUAUAUAUAUAAAACCUUUAGAUUGAAUGCUCACAAGUUGUACAAAAGUUAUCUUGUACUGUAAAUAUUUUUAGAUUGUAAGCUUACGGGCAGGGUCCUCUGUUCCUUUUGUGUUCAUUAUUUGUUUGCAUUUCCUUUUUUGUACAGCACUGCGGAAUAUGUUAGUGCUAUAUAAAUACCAAAUAAUAAUAAUAUAAAGUGUAAUACCUUUUAAUAAAUGUAGUGAAUAAUGCCACUAUAAAUUAAAUACAGCAAUCACAGACUAAAGGGAAAAAUUAACAAACAAAAAAAAGACCAAAAUGUCCAGUUAUUAGUAUUUAGAUAAUACCUUUCUCUUUAAUACACUGUAUAACUGCAAAGGCAUUAAACAUUGAAAUGCUCAACAUUUAUUUUAUGCAGUUGGCAAACAGUGUUAAACAAUUAUAUAUAUAAUUGUUUGACGGAGGACAUUCUAUAAAAUCACAAAUAAAUAUUUUCAAUAUUUUCUGCUAUUGAGAUCAGUAGUACGCACUGUUCUAUUUGUAUACUAUGUGCGUGACAGUAUGCGUAGCUGAUAUACUUGGAAAGUAAUGUAAUUCCUGCCCAUUUUACGGCAAAGAGGCAGAAAACGCUCUUCGAAUUUCAGAGAGGUUUGCAGAGGAUUGUAAAAACAUAGAACUGAAAAUUGCAGGAUAUCUAAAGAAUUGUAUUCUCCAAAAUGGAAUUUCUGUGAAACGUAAACCAAACUGCGAAAUUUAGCCCAAAAUAACUGAUUUUAAAAAAUAAAUAAAUCCAACUCUGUUAUAGUUAACCUAAAUUCUGCAUUUUUUUUAAAUUGACUACAGUUCGGAGCUUAGUGAAUAAACAACAGGGGGUUAAUAUUUACAGCAAAGUUUGUAGCCCAACAAGCGACAUGGUUUGCAUUACUGAAUAUUAAUUGGGACUGAUCUGUGCUUUGUAGAGUUUGAUAGGAUUCGCUCACUGGUGAGCAAGAAAAUGGCCACUGCUAUUGUUCCAAUGCUAUAGCAAUAUCUAUAAUAAAAAGCACAGAGCAUUAUUUUGCACUAAAUUGCCAGUUUUAAACAAGUCUAAAUGUUCUAAUCCAGCCCAAGAUUAAUAUUUAUUUUCUUGGCCUGAAAUUUUCACUCCAGUUUUGCAAUUAUCGUAAGUCACUAUUUAGUGAAUAGAUCUCACAGUGAAAAUUUAGCAGAGAGAAGAAAACUCUCCCUUCUAAAACAUUUUCCAGAAUAUCUGACAUUUGCAUGGUCUAUUUGUAACUUUUGGAUAAUACUCCCCUUAUCAAACGACAAACAUUUAAUGAAAGGUAAAAAUGUUUAAAAGCUUGCAGGUAAAAUAUUAUUAGAAUCAGAUAUUUUGCCUCUGUCUUGGCAAGUAAUUUAUAAUACAUAUUUAAUUUAAUAUAUACAGAAGGAAGCGGACGGAAACACUUAUAUCUAAUAAUUAAUAUAAGGUAAUGUAACAUACAACCGUUAUCUUGUCUAUAUCUUUAUUCUAAUUAAUAUUAAUUAUGAUUCCUAAGCCACUGUAUUACUUCCGAACUGUUCCUUAGUGCAUACAAAUGAACAGAAUCUAAUUUAUAUAUUGAGCAUCAAAGUUUUUAUAAACUAUUUUGGUAAAACACAGCAGAUAAACAACUAGAUCAGUCUAUAGAAAUUUCUAAUAAAAAAUCUCUAUGUGAAAAUGGACAGAAUCUGUGUGCUGCCCUGUUUAUGACAAAUAAUUUCACAAGACUUUAUAUUAAAAGGCAUAUUAGAAGCAUAAUUAGAAAUAUCACAUAAUAUUUCACUGACACAAUGAGUUUUAUUUACAUUAAUCACAUGUUUUAAUUAUAGUGGUUUCAAACUAACUAAAAUAUUUUAAAUUAUACAAGUGUUGGUGUAAAUGUGUUAUUAAAUUUUAUUCAUUAAAUUCUAUGUAUUAUUAUACACAAUAUAUACAUGUGUUUAAAAAUAUUCAAAUUAAUAACUAGAUUUUUUAGAACUGAUUUUUAUACGUAAUUUCCAAAUAAAUCUAAUUACUGUAGUUUAUGUCAACUUAAUAUUAAUUUAUAAGUAGGCAAUGUGAAUGGUUAUUUUAAAUAUGUCUGUAGUGAUGUUAAUUAAUACGAGAAAAUAACAAUAUAUGUCUAAUUGUUUGGAAUGUAGUUCAACAAAAUUGUAUUAUUGACGCUACAAGUAAAUUAAUUCUAACAAACAUCAAUACAAAACUAAAAAUAAUAAUAUUAAAACAAAACAUUUGCCUAUGCUAAAUAUUAUCAUAAUAAUGAUUUGUUAUGUACUCUAUUUAUAGACAAAUUCACAGUCACUCCAUAUUGCUGGGACUUUUAUAUCAUUGAAAUAUGAAUACAAUUUAGAACACUGUAAUUCAUAUGUAUUCUCAUUCUGCAAACAGGUAAUACAAGGAUUUUUUAAUCAAAGUAAUGUACCGAAAUAUUUCUUGUAAUUAAUCUAAAGAAAUUAAAAAUAGACCGUAGAAUAAUGUUAAAAUUGUAUUAACCCAAAGUAAAUUUUUAACAGUGAGAAUAAAAAUGAUCAUUUGAUUAAAAUGUUAUCAAUAAGCAAUUUUAUAUCUAAUCACAACAUUUUUGAUAGUAGUAAAUAAUGUUUUAAUACUUUCAAUAUUCAUUCUGGAGAGAAUCAAGCAAUCAGACAUUUUAAAGUAAAACAUAUUAGAGGCUUGUGGAUUUCUCUGCAGAUACAUGAAUUCUUUUACUCAAAUUAUUUAACAUUUAACAUUUCAGAUACACAGACUACCUGUGUUUUUUUUUGUACGUUAUACAACACAAAUACUGCAAAAAUACAUGAACCUGUUAAAGGCUUUGUGUGUAUACAAAAAUUGUGUUUAUUUAACCAAACUCCUGAAUAUACUAUCAUCUAGAGCUAGACGUACGGUAAAAUCUGUUCUGUACUUUACAAAAAAGCUUUUAUAUACUUUUCUAUUUUCUAUUUUUUUUUUCCCUUUUCAAAAUUAGUUUAGCUGUAAUUGUAACUCAUUCAUAGAGUUUAAUAAAUAUUUACAUUUAAAUGUUCCUAUUGCUGGAACGCUCUGGUACGUACAGAGUUAAUUUCAGUAUCAGGCCUGGGGUACAGGACGCAAAUCUAAACUUUACAAGUCGACAAAAGGACAGACAGUAACGCAGGAUUUUAAUGUCUGAACAGCCGAGCCUGGGAUACGAGUUCCAGGUUUGGCAGACGUGAGCUACCAGGACGAACCCUUGAAAACUUAAUCCACAGCAAUUGCACUGUUUUGUCCCAUUGCUGCGUCCAAACGAUGACUAACUGGCUCAUUAUAAAACUCCUGGCACAUUCUAAAGCAAACGUAUUAUAAAACCUCGUGAAGCAGGUUAACCCACUCAGACAUCAGGGCCUGGACCGGCAGCCCCAUAUCAGUACUGCGUGACAGUGAAUGGGUUAAUGUAAAAUAUUAUUGUGUUUCUUAUCAUAGAAGGCAUUCCUCCCUCUUCUCUUCCUUAACCUAGAAAAGAUUCACUCCCUUCUGUUUCUCACAGUGAGAAAAGUCCUCCAUUGUGCUUUUUCAGCAGAAGACAAGCCCUUCUAGUUUUUCUUACUGUAGAAAGCAAUCCCCACCUUUUAUUUCUGAGUGACAGCCAUACCCCCUUGUGGGGUUUUUUAGGUAGAAAGCACUCACAGUGAGUUUCUCAUAAUGUUAUUCUUAGAGUGGGGGAUAUCCCACCCAAUUAUUAUUAUUAUUAUUAUGUUAUUUAUAUAGCGCCAUCAAAUUCCGCAGCGCUUUACAAUGGGUGGACGAACAGACAUGUAGUUGUAACCAGACAAGUUGGACACACAGGAACAGAGGGGUUGAGGGCUCUGCUCAAUGAGCUUACAUGCUAGAGGGAGUGGGGUAAAAUGACACAAAAAGGUAAGGAUAGUAUUAGACUAGUGACAGUUGCAGAAGAGGAAUCAGUCAGGAGCUAUUAACAGUUUAAUUGAUACGCUUUUAUGAAGAAGUGGGUUUUUAACGAUUUUUUGAAGGAGUGGAGACUCGGUGAGCAUCUAACGGAGGAGGGAAGCGAGUUCCACAGGAACAGUGCAGCCCUCGAGAAAUCUUGAAGGCGAGAAUCAGAGGUGGGAGUACGGACAGAAGAUAGACAUUAGUCUUCAGCAGAUCGUAAGCGCCUAGAUGGGACAUACUUGUGUAUAAGGGAGGUUAGAUAGGUGGGAGCAGCAUUAUGUAUGAUUCUUAGAGUGGGUGAUAUCCCAUCAAAUGAUUCUUAGACUAGGUGGUAUCCCCCACAAUGAUUCUUAGAAUGGGCAGUAUCCCCCCAAUUAUUUUUAGAGUGGGGGUUGUCCCACCCAAUGAUUCUUAGAGUGGGCGGUAUCCCCUCAAAGAUUCUUAGACUGGGCGGUAUCCCCUCAAUGAUUCUUAGACUGGGUGGUAUAAGCCCAAAGAUUCUUAGACUGGGCGGUAACCCCCACAAUGAUUCUCAGACUGGGCGGUAUCCCCCCAAUGAUUCUUAGACUGGGUGGUAUCAGCCCAAAGAUUCUUAGACUGGGCGGUAACCCCCACAAUGAUUCUUAGACUGGGCAGUAUCCCCCCAAUGAUUCUUAGAGUGGGGGCUAUCCCACCCAAUGAUUCUUAGAGUGGGCGGUAUCACCUCAAAGAUUCUUAGACUGGGUGGUAUCUCUCCAAUGAUUCUUAGACUGGGCAGUAUCCCCUCAAUGAUUCUCAGACUGGGCGGUAUCCCCCCAAUGAUUCUUAGACUGGGUGGUAUCAGCCCAAAGAUUCUUAGACUGGGCGGUAACCCCCACAAUGAUUCUUAGACUGGGCAGUAUCCCCCCAAUGAUUCUUAGAGUGGGGGCUAUCCCACCCAAUGAUUCUUAGAGUGGGCGGUAUCACCUCAAAGAUUCUUAGACUGGGUGGUAUCUCUCCAAUGAUUCUUAGACUGGGCAGUAUCCCCUCAAUGAUUCUCAGACUGGGCGGUAUCCCCCCAAUGAUUCUUAGACUGGGUGGUAUCAGCCCAAAGAUUCUUAGACUGGGCGGUAACCCCCACAAUGAUUCUUAGACUGGGCAGUAUCCCCCCAAUGAUUCUUAGAGUGGGGGCUAUCCCACCCAAUGAUUCUUAGAGUGGGCGGUAUCACCUCAAAGAUUCUUAGACUGGGCAAUGAUUCUUAGAGUGGGGGAUAUCCCACCCAAUGAUUCUUAGAGUGCGCGGUAUCCCCCGAAUGAUUCUUAGACUGGGCAGUAUCCCCGACAAUGAUUCUUAGAGUGGGGGAUAUCCCACCCAAUGAUUGUUAGAGUGGGCGGUAUCACCCCAAAGAUUCUUAAACUGGGCGAUAUCCCCCCAAUGAUUCUUAGACUGGGUGGUAUCCCCACAAUUAUUCUUGGAGUGGGCAGUAUUCUCCCAAUGAUUUUUAGACUGGGUGGUAUCCCCACAAUUAUUCUUAGAGAUACUUUUAAUUAGUUUGUAUUAAAAUUCCACUGUGUGUUUUAAGAGUCUUUGAAACAGUUACUGUAUAAAUAUUACACACAGAAUUUUUUAUUUUUUAUUAAAUACAUUUUUAAAACGAAGGACAAACAGUACGAGGACACUGAAAAUAUAUAGGUAACAUAACAAGACAAGCGAUGCAGCAGUCUUGGCAUAAACGUUAAUCAUACAAAUCCUUGCUAAUUUCGAUGUUGCAUAAAAUGUAAGAAAAUAAAAAAUGAAAAGAUAAUGAUAUGUUCUUAAAUAAAGAAAGAAAUGAGAACUGUGUAAAAGUCCAUUUCCGAUAGGUGCUGUCUGUCUUUCACAGUAUUUAUGUUGCUAAAAAGAAAAAGCUUUUGGCAUUGCCAGAUAUUACAGUUGGGAAAGAGUGAAGCAAACUUUUAUUUUUUAAUAUUCAGCCUCAAGUGGAAGCUCCCUUCUCAAAGUGAGAGAAAUGUGCUUACAGCUGCAACUUUGAAAAAGAUCUUAUUUUAACUUGACAGAGCUUAGCCCCACCCUAGCAGGGCCCCUCCUGAGACAUUGCAUUCUAUAUACGGCAUGAAAGUGAUUCAAAGUAUAUAAAGUAAAUUCAUACUAUACUACUAUAACAUACUAUAACAUUCUACGAGCUUUGAAUUUGCCGUUUAGUGAAUGAGUGCCCUGGAUCUUGUAUGUUACAUAUAUUUAUAUUUAUGUAUCUAUUUAUGUAUUUUAAAAGAUUUUUCAUUCAUUGAGCCAUGGACUGCUGCCGUAUGGACAGAUUUUCGCUUGGGGGUUUAUAGUGGCCUGUCACCAGUUAGAACACAUAAAAUAUUAGUUGGAGUAUUUUUACACUAUUGUUAAAGAGAAGAAAUAUGCUAAAAUGAAAAAAAUGUAAACAGAUUUAUUUGUACUUUGAACAAACAAUGGACAGAAUAUCACCAGAAAAAGGUACAAUCACUCAAACCUGCAUCUGAAAUUUUAACCUCUUGAAACUCUGGCAAAUUCUCUACAGAUGAAUGAUUCUGUUAUAUUUAAAAUUUUCUGUUUACAAUACACAGUGAAUAGUACAGAAUUCCCCAACUAGCCUAUGGACACCAAAUUAUUGUAAACUGAAACCUGAAUCACAAAGUUGACAGCUAGUAUUUAGCCUAAAUUUGGCAAUUAGUCAUUCUCUUGAUUACAAGUCGAUGAUUAGUGAAUAAACCUGUUUGCAUGCGCGACAUCAUUUUUGAGGUCAAUUCACUAAAUGGGGAAUUAUGUAAAAAUUACUAACGAAUUGCACAUUGAGGCCAAAAUAUCCAAUUUGAUAUUUUUUUUUUAUUACUUUUUCCCAGACAGUUCACUAUCUCACAUUUAGUGAAUAAAUCACACAUGUAUUUCUAUCCACAAAAUAUCGUAAGAAGGUCCACAGUGGUCACCAAAUUGUAUUGAUGGUCCAUAUUGCUCCACAAACAGGUAAAUCCCAAGGCAAUAUUGGAGCCACCAUUUCUGACACUUCCCGUAGGAUUCACUCGCACUUCCAGGAUAUCUUGUAGCAAUCCAGCAAAGAACGGACAUUAUAGUACGUUACAAAAAUGAGGACAGGACUUGGGGCCUGCUUUAUUAACGCCCUAAUCAGAGGAAAAUAGCUACGCCUGCUGGAAAACAUCACUUGAGGCAUAAAGGAAUAAUUGUAUUGAUUGUACAAAAAAGCCAACAUAUUCUGUAGCGCAGUGCAAUAGGUAAGUGGAAUAUACAAAUGAUUGCGAAAUUACAAGUUUUACCUGCAGGAACAAGAGGUUAUGAGAACACAGCUUCAUAUGGGCUUAUAGUCAAGGGGCUUUAUUCACUAAAUGGCAGUUAAAAGACAAAUUGCGAGGAAGAUCAAAAUUUAGUUCAACCAAACUGAAAAAAACAAACAAACAAAAAUAGUCGUAUUACAGAAUGUUUGCAAUGCAGCUAUUUUGAAUAAAAAUGUAUAAUUCUUUUUUUAAUCCUUCACUUAAUGAUGCCCGCUGACCCCAUUUAUAUUGCAGCAAAUCUUUGGAUCCACAGAAAGGUAAAGGCGGGAUACACAUAGCGCACACUCUCUUUGUCCUUUAAAUAUGUUUAAAGUUCAUUCAGUAUUUCAUUUUGAGGUUAGGAGUGCUGGGAUCUCUGUCUAAAAUUAGCAUUUUUUUCCAUUGCAGAAACACUUUUCUCCGACUAACCACACUUUUUGUACUGGACUAUAACCGCAAAAUGUGCUGUGUGUUAUAAGUGUAUACGAUAUGGUGAUGUGCGCUCGUUGUAUAUAGAAGACGAGGCAGUGUGGCACUAACCAGGCCUUGCAUGUUGGUAUUUGCUGCUCUGGCUGUUUCCAGCUUCCAGCUACAGAUCUGCAUGGAAAAAAAAUCACGUAUGAAUAUUCAUGCACUUACUGCACCUUCCCGUGGCUAAUAUUUAACCUCUGCAGGCUAGAGAAUGCUGGCAAGUACAUCGGAAUGGGAGGGACUCCUAGCUCCAUAAAACGGAUCCAAGCCUCUUUCAGGGAACAAGGUGGAGGGAAGUGUGCAAACUGGGUACUAGGAAGCGGAGAUCUGGAGCACCAUAGAUAGACUGACACGAAGCCCUCAUUGGGCACUAAGCCAGAAAAAAAACUGAAUAUAUCAGAGGAUGGGAGUGAAGGAGGCGAAGCUUAAAAAAAAAAAAACAACACUGAGCAGGGCUUGUUCACUAAGCAGCAUCUUAUAUAAACGUUGCCUUAAUUUUGCACUUCACUGUUUAGUAAAUAGAGCUUAGUAUCUAAUAGGAAGAUAACACACAAGAUGCACAGACUGUACCGGCAGGUAAUACCCAACUCGGCAAUCUAAUCUGCCUAUUAUAAAACCUCAGAUUGAUUUUACCUACAGAUUCUAACUUGUAACCUUACACUAUUCAAGUCUUUUAUUGUAUUAGCCUUUACUGCUUCCACUGGAAGGCUAUUCAAUGCAUCUACUACCCUUUGUAUAUCAUUGUUAGCCUUUAGUGUUUCAACUGGAAAGCGUUUCCAGCAGUAGCGACUCUUGGAACAUUACAAAGGAGGGGCACAAAAGAUACCACAGUGAAAAGCAGUGAGGCUAUAGUGGGUGCAGGGGGUAAUCAGGGUUGUAGUGGUUGGAAAGUAAUAGGGGCUUUAGCAAGAAUGGGGGAUAGUGGCUGUGGUGGGGGACAGGAGCAGACAUUUGGGGUAGGAGCUGUGAUGGGGCAGUAGAGAGGGGAUAAUUUAAUAAAUAACUAUUAAAAAUGUAUUUAUUUCCAAAUUCCGGAGCGUUACCUUUGGCCAUGGAGGAGAAAGUAUGCCGGCGUGCAUGGGGUGGAGACAGAGGCCUGUAUCAGACCCGUGGGGAAAUGGGGCGGGAUUGCCCCCCUGUAUCUGCGCUUGUGUUUUCCAGGUACCUACAAACCUUUCUAUAUUGCUGUUAGUGUUUACUGUUUCCACUGGAAGGCUAUUCCAGGUAUUUACUUUCGAACACAGAAAUAUUUCUUGGAAAGAAAUUAACCUUUUCCAAGCCAGUUUUGUGAAUGGGGAGACACUGAUUGGCUGAGAGCAUCAGCUGACCACUCUCAUGCCAUUGUACAGAACACUGGUGAGACCUCACUUGGACCGUAUCUCCAGAAGGAUAUUGAUACCUUAGAGAGGGUUCAGAGAAGGGCUACUAAACUGGUUCAUGGAUUGCGGGAUAAAACUUACCAGGAAAGGUUAAAGGAACUUAACAUGUAUAACUUGGAGGAAAGACGAGACAGGGGGGAUAUGAUAGAAACAUUUAAAUAUAUAAAGGGAAUCAACACAGUAAAGGAGGAGACUAUAUUUAAAAGAAGAAAAACUACCACAACAAGAGGACAUAGUCUUAAAUUAGAGGGGUAAAGGUUUAAAAUAAUAUCAGGAAGUAUUACUGUACUGAGAGGGUAGUGUAUGCAUGGAAUAGCCUUCCAGCUGAAGUGGUAGAGGUUAACACAAUGAGGGAGUUUAAGCAUGCGUGGGAUAGGCAUAAGGCUAUCCUAACUAUAAGAUAAGGCUAGGGACUAAUGAAAGUAUUUAGAAAAUUGGGCAGACUAGAUGGGCCGAAUGGUUCUUAUCUGCCGUCACCUUCUAUGUUUCUAAACUAAAGUUACAAGUUGUAAUUUCUAUUUUACUUCCAGAACAAAUAGAAACAAAGCAUGUAUAUCAUUAGUGCAGGGGUAGGCAACCUUCAGCACUCCGGAUGUAGUGGACUACAUCUCCCAUAAUGCUCUUACAUCCAUAAUGCUGGCAAAAGCAUCAUGGGAGAUGUAGUCCACAAAGUCUGAUGAAGGUUGGCUAGUGGAUAAUGCGAGGUACCCUUCGUGAACCUCCAUUCUCUGCACUUACUCUGCUUUCAACACUCGUGCUGGUUAUGUAUGGGAUCUAGAAGACUACGUCACUCUCAGAGCAUAAACUGCGGCCCAGGCCGCAACAUUACUUUAUCUCCUAACCUCAAAGUUACUAUCUGGGCGAAGCACGAUGGAUACAUGUGUGUGUGUAUGUGUGUGUGUGUGUGAGUGAGUGUGUGAGUGUGAGAGUCUGUAGGUGUGUGUGUCAGUGUGUGUGUGAGUGUGUGGGUGUGUGUGUGGGGUUGUGGGUGUGUGUGUGUGUGUGUGUGUGUGUGUGAGUGUGUGUGAGUGUGUGUGUCUAACACUUAAUAAUGACACCAAAAUGAAAGCCAGUUCUGUUCAGCAAUAGGAAGUAUCUGUCUAAUAUACGCUGUUCAUUUACAGGAGGGGAGAGGGGCAAGGGGGGAGGAGGAUAAAAUUAGUGUUUUUUGUUUUUUUUUAUAUCAUAAGUGCGAAGGCCUGAAAAGAAUAAACAAGAUGGAGGACGUUAGUGAAAAGAGUCACCAGAAAGUCGUCAAGGAAACAAACGGCUUUCUGUAUUUAUUUAGUUCCUGCACCGAUAAAUUGUGUGAAAUAGACCUUGCCUGAGAAUUGAGAGUGAGGUCUUCUCGUAAUGGUCUGUUUCUAAAAGUUCACCAGACAUUUUUCUCUGGAGCUGCUUCAAACAUUCAAUAUGCUUAUAACCAAAGGGAAAAUAUUAUGGCUAAAAGGGACACUCCAGGCACUACUUCUGCCCAUUGGAGUGGUCUGGGUGCCAACUCCCAUCACCCUUAACCGUGAUAGCCACUGGAGGGACUUCCGUGUUCUUAAAACAUGAAAAGAGUUUUAAACUAUGCUGGAAAUCCUCACGCUAUGCAUGAGGACAUCCAGCGUUGCUAGAAUUCCCAUAGGAAAGCAUUAAAUAAUGCUUUCCUAUGGGGAGGUCUAAUGCGCGCGCGGCUCCAAAUAUCUACUUUAUUUCGCUGAGUGCUUUAUAAGUGAAGAGUGUGUCCUCUUUUUUCCAAAUUUUGUAAAACGUGCAAAUUUCAAUAGAAACUGUAAUUUGUAUUAGAUAUCAUAGUUACACCCAGACAACCAAACUUGUUACUGGAGAUAAACUCAAAAGGCAGCAAUUACCCAGAGCAGCUGUCUUGCAAAGACUUCUCAUUGAGCUGCAUUGGGAAAUCUGUGAUUGGACAGACACAGAAAGUCUGGGUGGAGUUAGAAGGGGAGGGUUUGCAAAGGCUGCAGACGAGAAAUCUCCAGCUUUUGCAAACAUUUUUUAGAUGUACCCACAAUGAAAAAACACAUAAUUAAGUGCAUGCAUGUUUUCUUAGGGGUUAUAUCUACUAAAUAGUGAUUUUCUUUUUUCUUUUUUUUAUAUUAUUUGGAAGGUGGUGUGUUUUUUUUUACCAGAGAAUUCUGAGAGUCCUUUAUUUUCAAGUGAGACAGCAAAUUCGAUAGGGUUCCAGCUGCACUAUCUUUGCUGUCACAGGUUUAAAUCCUAAAAUGGUCAUCUCAGUCGUUCUUAAUUUUAAAGUCUACACAAUAAGUGACAUGAUGUUGGGUAACAAUAAUAUCUAGACUCCAGGACACAUCUGGAAACUAGCACCAGCUAAAUGUCAAUGUCUUUCCCAAUAAAACUAUUUGACAUAAUUAUUAAGUUAUUAAAAUGGUGAUAAACAUGCGCACAAGAGGUCGGGGAGUCGAUACAUAGCAUAUAUAGUGAGUGGCGUAACAUCACUGUGUGUUAAUAAUGCAUUACUGUGCUGUAAUAACAUGAAUCACUGAACAACGACUGCAUUAUUUGAGCUAAUAAAGGUUAAUAAAGGUUAAAUUCAUAUUACUUUUCAGAAUCAAGUCGGAGACCACCCAGAGGAAGUUCUUGCCUUAAAUUCUGCAACACCUUAUGCGACAUUUAGUGAUAGUGUCUGGUGGGUCUUUUUCCACACAACACAUUCACCUGUUACAUCGCAAAGAUGAGUAUAUUACAUGACAUACCAGAGCGAUCUGCGUGAAACCCACCAGAGUAACAGAGGUAAUAAAACAUAGAUCCAAAUGUGGUACAAUUGCAUCGAAUUACACAAACGUCUUGAUGGCCAAGAUCAGUCCUCCCAAGCAAAAUAUUCAUAAACGGUUACCUUUAAAUAAUCACACAAAAAUAGAAAAUAAAAAAAAAGAGAGAAAACGGCAACUUUCCAUAUUUUCAUUGUGGAGCAUGUAAAAUGCCGUGUAUUACAAGCGGAAUAAUAAACUUAACUUAGACACAAGUCUGCUCAAGGAACUCUUUCUGGAAUUUCCUGUAGAACAGAGACAAACAUUUCUGUAUAUCGGCAGCAGGAUUGCCACCAGUGCCUUUUCGUCUGUACCGGUCACGUAUUUACCAACAAAUCAUUGGCACCUUUUAGUACAUUGUGUGAAUGUCUUUACAACCACCUUGGCUGAGCAUAAAAGGAGUAGCUGUUCGCAGUAUCUCUCUGGCCAAGUACCCAAG